rnacentral:lncRNA from 10 species
GUGGGCUGACAGUACAGGGUCCAACAGAGGCAAAGAGCUGGAAAUGCAGGGAAAGAAAGGGGAACAUCCUCCUCUUCCAGCGGAGGAAGCUGGGUGAAGAAAGGAGAAGCAUUGCGCUGGUGUGGGAAGCACGGGGCCGCUAAGGUUGAAGGGAAGAAGCCAAGACUCAAGGAGUUAAGAACUUUUCCAAGGGUAGCUAUUAGCCAGGACUCAAACCUACAUACUUGAAUGAAUUUCUACAACCUGUUAUUGAAGACUAAGGAGUAAGAAUUCUGCCGGAAGACUGUGUUGCCGAACCAAUCAGGCUUCUCAGCCUGGGCUGGAUCCUGGACAGACAGGCCCAGGCAGGCUGUGCACUGUGACCUGGGGCCUUGCUGUGAACAAAGAGGACUUCAAGAGGAGAUGGCCUGGAGGAGUUCGCCUUUGUGGUCAUUUUGCUUCAGCGGACCAGUCAGCAAAUAAUGACUGCCCUUGGUCAUCCCUGGGAAGAUAAAGGAUUAUUAAAAGAGGGCCCGGCAGCUUGCAGAUUACACCUGCUACAUUUGGAGUGGAAAGAGGCUUCUCUGUCAGUGCCCCUUGCCCCCAUGGAAAGACACUAAUAGCAAUCUUCAACCAUAAUUGUUUGGUCCAUUUUGUUCUGGACCAAGUUUGCAUAAGUUUUAAGCCUGAAAGUCAAAGAAAAACGAAAUCUUACACGUCAACAUGGCCUUUCCAUCACUUGAAAAAGGCACCCUCUCUCUCUCUUUCUCUCUGCCUCGUAAACACAGCGGUCUUGCUCAGAGCAAUCUUGAGCUCUGAGCUGUGAAGAAUUGCUGUAGGUAGGAAGAAACGUUGGCUCUGGAAUUCAAUUAACUGUCAGCAUUGCUGUUCGAGUCAGGAUGACUCACUCCUCUUCAGCAAAUGGGCAUGGGGGCUGUGAGCCUCCAAGAUUAAUGGUGAUUGAUAAGCCGCUGGAGCUCCAGGACGAAGCCUCCCAGAAUCCUUCCCUCACCCACACACGUUUUUACAUGAAAAUAUAAUAGAUAGUGGGAGAGGAUGUGUGAGUACAGAGGAGAUGCUGUCAAGAAUUUGCCUGUAUCCUUUUCUUUUAUAUUGGUAAGUUUCACUGGAUUCUAAGCUACUGAAAAGCAGGGACUAUGUUUUAUAUUUCUUUUCUCUCAGUUCAUGUCCAAAUUAAUGCAUCAGGUGAAAAGAAAGGAUGCUGUCUGAUACCCCAUGAGGUAGGUAUGAGGCCCAUUCUAUAAAUGAGGGGAAGCAACGUGCUAAUAAGAGAAAAAGCUAGGACUCGGUCCCAGAAAGUCUGCCAAGGGUGCCAGCUCCAACCGCUGCAGGUGCCGCCUCUUCACGAGCACGUUACGCCAUUUCUCUCUUUAACACGGAAAGCAAAAUGUGGGCCUGACUGUGGUGAGGGCAUGCUUUUCCAUUCUAAAUGGCAGCUAGCAUGCAUUACAUGUACAAUAUACAACAGGAAUACAAUACGCGGGAGAGAAAACCUUCCCUCCCCUUUUCCUCAGGCACCUGGCUGGUUCAGGCUCCAGUGGCUUGGUUUUGUCGCUGGUGUUGUUAGUUUCCCCCAGCAUCCCCAUUCAUUUUCCAGAAUCCUCUGUCCCUCAUUGUAGUUUUGUAUUUGCAGAUACAAUCUAGGAAACAAUUCAGAUGGGAAAAGAAAUCUUUUCAUGAGAAAGGAUAGUAAAAUUAACAGAAAGCUGGUUAAACUUACAAUUUCCUCAAGUAUUGAGAAUAAACAUGAAUCCAUGAGAAUAAAAACUCAGUAUGGAUUUGUCCACAACGCUUAGGAGGAACAUGUUAGAAGUGCCACAUGCAGGCCAGGCGUGGUGGCUCACGCCUGUAAUCCCAGCAUUUUGGGAGGCCGAGGCAGGAGGAUCAAGAGGUCAGGAGAUCAAGAUCAUCCUGGCUAACACGGUGAAACCCUGUCUCUACUAAAAAAAAUACAAAAAAUUAGCCGGGUGUGGUGGCAUAAGCCUGUAGUCCCAGCUACUCGGGAGGCUGAGGCAGGAGAAUCGCUUGAACCCGGGAGGUGGAGCUUUCAGUGAGCCGAGACGCACCACUGCACUCCAGCCUGGGUGACAGAGCGAGACUCUGUCUCAAAAAAAAAAAAAAAGAAAAAGAAAAAGAAAGAAAAAGAAAUGCCACAUGCAUGUAAGAGUCCAGGCAGGGUGGUCAAACUGUCAGAUGCGCAACAUUCGAGGGGCAAAAAGGAUGAAAUAAGAUGCUCUCUAAACGCAUGAGCAAGACCAGCUGUCAAAGCACUGGCGCCUUUAUUCACACAUUUUGUAAACCUCAGGUAGACAGGAGACAGCAGUAAGUACGUGACCUCAGCGCGUGAUCCUCAUUCAAACUGGAAUUCGAGUAUCACUGGUCUCAGCUGCAGACAUUUCAGAGUGGGUCCAUUUGCUCUUAGGAACUUCCAGGGCACCCCAGCACCACUUGUUUUUGCCUUUGUCUUUGCUUUCCUUCCCCACAUCCCUACAAAACCAAACAGACUUGCUCUCCCAGCUUCACAAAGAGAAACGGAUUCCAAGAGGAAAUCACUUCACAGCAAGUGAGCCCUGGGAAGAAUUAAAGACUGAGGAGCCCUUGUAAUGAGAUUAAGGGAAAAAUGCUUUUGUGCAUCCAACUCAGACCCGUCCUCAGUAUGCAGGACGCGAGUGGUGCCAAAACAAACAUGGGUAUUGUUUUGGGAAGGAAAAGGUUAACAAGCUAUGAAAACAAAAUUAGAGAUAUUUUCAAAGCAUGACCCUCAGCAGAAUGAGUAGAAUGCAGUCUACCCAGGCAGCAGCAUUCCCUCCUCACUUGACAUUUAUCCUGCA